GUUAAGGCGGUCUUAACCGCCACCGAAUAAACAUAAACAGUCAGUAG
rfam:Corchorus capsularis cultivar CVL-1 contig16322, whole genome shotgun sequence.